rnacentral:rRNA from 1 species
GCCUGCACUUGAUUAGUUUGUUGGUAGGGUAAUGGCCUACCAAGACUGUGAUCAAUAGCUGAUUUGAGAGGAUGAUCAGCCACAUUGGGACUGAGACACGGCCCAAACUCCUACGGGAGGCAGCAGUGGGGAAUCUUGCACAAUGGAGGAAACUCUGAUGCAGCGAUGCCGCGUGAGUGAAGAAGGCCCUUGGGUUGUAAAGCUCUUUCGUCGGGGAAGAAAAUGACUGUACCCGAAUAAGAAGGUCCGGCUAACUUCGUGCCAGCAGCCGCGGUAAUACGAAGGGACCUAGCGUAGUUCGGAAUUACUGGGCUUAAAGAGUUCGUAGGUGGUUGAAAUAGUUGGUGGUGAAAUCCCAGAGCUUAACUCUGGAACUGCCAUCAAAACUUUUCAGCUAGAGUAUGAUAGAGGAAAGCAGAAUUUCUAGUGUAGAGGUGAAAUUCGUAGAUAUUAGAAAGAAUACCAAUUGCGAAGGCAGCUUUCUGGAUCAUUACUGACACUGAGGAACGAAAGCAUGGGUAGCGAAGAGGAUUAGAUACCCUCGUAGUCCAUGCCGUAAACGAUGUGUGUUAGACGUUGGAAAUUUAUUUUCAGUGUCGCAGCGAAAGCGAUAAACACACCGCCUGGGGAGUACGACCGCAAGGUUAAAACUCAAAUGAAUUGACGGGGACCCGCACAAGUAGUGGAGCAUGUGGUUUAAUUCGAAGAUACGCGCAGAACCUUACCAACACUUGACAUGUUCGUCGCGACUUUAAGAGAUUAGAGUUUUCGGUUCGGCCGGACGAAACACAGGUGCUGCAUGGCUGUCGUCAGCUCGUGUCGUGAGAUGUUGGGUUAAGUCCCGCAACGAGCGCAACCCUCACUUUUAGUUGCCAUCAUUUAGUUGGGCACUCUGAAAGAACUGCCAGUGAUAAGCUGGAGGAAGGUGGGGAUGACGUCAAGUCCU